UACGGAGGGGGCAAGCGUUGUCCGGACUUACUGGGCGUAAAGCGCGUGUAGGCGGUUCGAUAAGUCUGCUGUGAAAGUCCAGGGCUCAACCCUGGAAAGCCGGUGGAUACUGUCGGACUAGAGUGCGGAAGAGGCGAGUGGAAUUCCCGGUGUAGCGGUGAAAUGCGCAGAUAUCGGGAGGAACACCAAUUGCGAAGGCAGCUCGCUGGGACGUUACUGACGCUGAGACGCGAAAGCGUGGGGAGCAAACAGG
rnacentral:rRNA from 1 species